rnacentral:rRNA from 1 species
CCUACGGGGGGCUGCAGUAACGAAUCUUCCGCAAUGCACGCAAGUGUGACGGAGCGACGCCGCGUGGAGGAGAAGUCCUUCGGGAUGUAAACUCCUGUCAGAGGAAAGAUCUACCUCAGAGGAAGAGGCGGCUAACUCUGUGCCAGCAGCCGCGGUAAUACAGAGGCCUCGAGCGUUAGGCGGAAUCACUGGGCUUAAAGCGUGUGUAGGCGGACUUCUAAGUACCUUGUGAAAUCCCAUAGCUCAACUAUGGAACUGCUGGGUAUACUGGUUGUCUUGAGCCACAUAGGGGCUACCGGAACAAAUGGUGGAGCGGUGAAAUGCGUAGAUAUCAUUUGGAACGCCAAUGGUGAAAACAGGUAGCUGGGUGUGCUGACGCUGAGACACGAAAGCCAGGGGAGCGAACGGGAUUAGAUACCCUUGUAGUC